rnacentral:lncRNA from 1 species
GGACAUUUUUGCAGUCCAUAUCAUGCAUUAGUAGUCUAAAUUAGUUUAAUUUCGAUUUAGUACCAAUGUAGUAAGUUUUUCGAUUUUGUACUAUGUCUAGGUGGUGAAUCCUCCGAUAAAGGCAAGGAAAUUGUACCCGAGGAUCGGUAGUCAGAGUACUCUAGAAAUUCAACUUUUGAAAUAAUGAGUAACCUUAUCAUCAUUUUAAUUAUCUAAAGUGGUCUUUUUAUUCAAUUUUGUGAAUUUUAUAGAAAAUGAAUUAAAUGAUUGAUUUUUUAAUUUUAUAAAUAAAAUGUGAUUCAAUGAAAUGAUUUCAUAAAAUUGUCUUGAAAUUGAAUGAUGGCUUUGAAAAUAGAGUAACUGGAGACCACUUGAUGUGUUGUAAUUUAUGGUUUUAAUUGAUGGCUUAUGAUUAUGUGUUGGCAUGACUGGCUGAGAUUGUGGUUUGUGAACUGUAUGAAUUAUUCUGUUUUACAUUUACAGGCUAGGUAGUAUAAUAUUAGUCAUGUCAUGCUGUUAAAAUUUUAUUGUAUGGUGGGUUUAGCUUGCUACAGUAGGCGGAUUCUGUGGACCAGCCUAUUAGAGGGGCACGAAAUCCGGAUAUAUAUAUAUACCUCGGUCGGAGAGGUGCGUAGGGUAUCUCCUGAGGUAUGGAUGAGUUCACGUCACGCCGAACCACCUCGUGAUGAUGAACUCCGAUAACGCCAAGGAAUUACUGUGCUUUUCAAACUAAAAAUAUGUUUACGUGUAUACGAACUUUUUAACAGCCUUGGCGGACUCGGUUAGAUGCCUCGGCCAAGGUAUCCCCGAGAAUGAUUGUCACGACCCGGAACCUCCCUCAGGCCCAUGACAAUCGUCGCGACGUCCCGAUUGACACUCAUUAUCCAAAAUGCCAACCGGAACCCCGCAAGGCUUACGUAUCAGUUUCUUUCCUUUCCUGUGAGCAAUCAUUGUUAAAUAUCGAGUUUUUAGAGAAUAUAUACUAUUUUAGAUCAAAAACAAUCAAAAUAAAAU